AUAUCUUCUGGUCGUGGUCAUGGUGUCCUGUGUGUUGGUUGGAUUGCUGAUCAUCUUUAUGGUGUCCCUGAUAGUUGUAAGCUGCAGGAAUCCAAAGGAAAGAUCCUCCUCCAAAGAAGACUUAAGUUCAUAUAAUGAUAUGGAAAUGCACAAACCUGCGGGUGACCAAAAAUCCCUCGGAGAACAAAGCACGUUACGCUGAUUAUGAUGACUAUGACGAGGUGAGCUACAAGAGUCAAGUUCCUCCAGCAUAUUCUGGCUAUGGUGUGAAGGGAGUGGAAAAUGGCUCAAGGGGAUUGCAAAACUCAUACUAUCGGCAAGAUGAUGACAGAAUGCGCAGAUAUUAGCAUCACAUGAUCAAGACAAUUCCCCGCAUUUGGAUGAUUUUGUUUCUUCUUCACUUGGACUGUAUCACUUUUUUUUUUUUUUUUUUACUUCUUUAUGGCCAAAACGUCAAAGGUUUCAAGGCAGAGAAUAAUUAAAUACAGCUAUAACAAACAGACAUUAGAGUAU